AUCGCUUCUCGGCCUUUUGGCUAAGAUCAAGUGUAGUAUCUGUUCUUAUCAGUUUAAUAUCUGAUACGCUACUCAUCGAGUAGCUUCAAUAUUAAAGAGAAAGAGAAAGGGAUAUAAACUAAA